GAUUCGUUAGCUCAGCUGGUUGCCGUUUGAAAGACGAGCCGUAGGCGAGCCUUUUAAACGGUGAAAAGCAGUAACACUUUUAAUGUUGGGGUCUUGGGUUCGAGCCCCAAACGGAUCA
rnacentral:tRNA from 1 species